rnacentral:rRNA from 1 species
UACGUAGGUGGCAAGCGUUGUCCUGAUUUACUUUUCUUAAAUGUAGCGUAGGCGGAUACUUAAGUGGGAUGUGAAAUACCUGGGCUUAACUUGGGUGCUGCAUUCCAAACUGGGUGUCUAGAGUGUUGGAGAGGAAAGUGGAAUUCCUAGUGUAGCGGUGAAAUGCGUAGAGAUUAGGAAGAACACCAGUGGCGAAGGCGACUUUCUGGACAAUAACUGACGCUGAGGCUCGAAAGCGUGGGGAGCAAACAGGAUUAGAUACCCUGGUAGUCCACGCCGUAAACGAUGGGUACUAGGUGUAGGAGGUAUCGACUCCUCCUGUGCCGCCGUUAACACAAUAAGUACCCCGCCUGGGGAGUACGGUCGCAAGAUUAAA